GGUCAAGUUACAAAGGGUUUACGACGGCUGACUUGGCAGACUCAGGCGAUGAAGGACGCGAUAAGCUGCGAUAAGCUUCGGGGAGCUGCAAUGAAGCUUUGAUCCGGAGAUUUCCGAAUGGGGCAACCCAACUGGACUAACCUCCAGUUAUCUUACUCUGAAUACAUAGGAGAUAGAUGCUAACGCGGCGAAUUGAAACAUCUUAGUAGCCGCAGGAAAAGAAAACAAAUGUGAUUCCCUAAGUAGCGGCGAGCGAAACGGGAAGAGGCUAAACUCUAGUGCUUGCACUAGAGGGUUGCGGGACCUCAAUGUAGGAUUGUAAGAGAAUAGCAAAAGCGUCUGGAAAGGCGCACCAUAGCAGGUGAAAGUCCUUUUUGCGAAAUUCUUGAGCACCUUAGAGGUAUCCCAAGUAAUGCGGGGCACGAGAAAUCCCGUAUGAAUCUGUGCCGACCAUGGCAUAAGCCUAAAUACUCGAGUCUGACCGAAAGCGUACAAGUACCGUGAGGGAAAGUUGAAAAGAACCCCGGGAGGGGAGUGAAAUAGAACCUAAAAUCGUAAACUUACAAAGCGGUCAAAGGCCUAUGCAUAUCGCAAGAUAUGAAUGGCUGAUGGCGUACCUUUUGCAUAAUGGACCAACUAGUUGCUAGGCGUUGCAAGCUUAAGUCCUUUUAGGACGGAGGCGUAGGGAAACCGAGUGUGAAUAGCGCGAAUCAGUAACGUUUAGCAGACGCGAAACCACGUGAUCUAUCCAUGGGCAGAAUGAAGCUCUAAGAAAUUAGAGUGGAGGUUCGAACACACGUUAGUUGAAAAUAACGGUGAUGACCUGUGGAUCGGAGUGAAAGGCUAAUCAAACGUGGAAAUAGCUCGUUCUCCCCGAAAUAGUUCUAGGACUAGCCUCGAUUAAAAUCAAAUUCAGGGGUAGAGUUACUGAAUAGGAUAGGGGGUUUACCAACCUACCAAACCUAACCAAACUCCGAAUACUGAAUUUGUUACAUCGGGAGUAAGACAGCGAGGGCUAAGCUCCGUUGUCUAAAGGGAAACAGCCCAGACCAUCUGUUAAGGUCCCUAAUACAUGCUAAGUGGUAAAGGAAGUGAGAUCACAUUAACAGCCAGGAUGUUGGCUUAGAGGCAGCCAUCAUUUAAAGAGUGCGUAAUAGCUCACUGGUCGAGUGGUCUUGCGCCGAAAAUGAUCGGGGCUCAAGCAUGUAACCGAAGCAGUGGAUUCCGCCGCAAGGCGAGAGUGGUAGGGGAGCGUAGUGUCAUGCGUUGAAGGCGUACCGUAAGGAGCGCUGGAGUAGACACUAGUGAUACUGUUGGUAUAAGUAGCGAAAACUACAGCGAGAAACUGUAGCACCGAAAAUCCAAGGUUUCCUGGGGAAGGUUAAUCCUCCCAGGGUUAGUCGAUCCUAAGGCGAGGCUGAAAAGCGUAGUCGAUGGACAUCCGGUUAAUAUUCCGGAACUGGCUAUGAACGUUAUUAACUUAAUGUGACGCGGAAGGUUAACUGAUCGGACUGUUGGAAUAGUCCGUCCAAACCCGUAGCCGUACAGCAAUGUACGGGGAGAGGUGAUGGGGAGCUGCGAUUAUAUCAAAGCGAAGUUAGUGAUACCAGGCUGCCGAGAAAAACCAUUAAGUGAGUAUCAUGGUCAAUCGUACCGUAAUCCGACACAGGUAGAUAACCAGAAUAUGGUAAGGUGCUCGAGAUAUCCGUCCCUAAGGAACUAGGCAAAGUGGCUCCGUAACUUCGGAAGAAGGAGUGCCGGAUUGGUCAGGCCCCUCGCGGGCGCAGCCAUGAAGGUCACAGUAAAGAGGCUUGGGUGACUGUUUAGUAAAAACACAUCACUGUGCAAAGUCGCAAGACGACGUAUACGGUGUGACACCUGCCCGGUGCUGGAAGGUUAAGGGAAAAGGUUAGCCGCAAGGCGAAGCUUUGAACCGAAGCCCCAGUAAACGGCGGCCGUAACUAUAACGGUCCUAAGGUAGCGAAAUUCCUUGUGGGGUAAGUUCCCACGCGCACGAAUGGUGUAACAACUUGAGCGCUGUCUCGGGGACGGCCUCGGCGAAUUUGUAGUGGCGGUGAAGAUGCUGCCUACCCGCACUUGGACGAAAAGACCCCGGAACCUUUACUGUAGUCUGAUAUUUGACUUGAGUUUUGUUUGUGUAGGAUAGGUGGGAGGCUUUGAAGUUCCGACGCUAGUCGGGAUGGAGCCAUUGGUGAAAUACCACCCUAACCGAAUUUAGGUUAUAAUUAUGAACUGUGAAUCCAGUCAUAAGACAGUGUCAGAUGGGCAGUUUGUUUGGGGCGAAUCCCGUCUAAAAUGUAACGACGGGGUCCUAAGGUCACCUCAAUCCGGUCGGCAAUCGGAUGUGGAAUGCAUAGGUAUAAGGUGGCUUAACUGUGACAUCGACAGAUGGAACAGAUACGAAAGUAGGGCUAAGUGAUCCGGUGGUAGAUUAUGGGAUUGCCAUCGCUCAACGGAUAAUAGGUACUCUGGGGAUAACAGGCUGAUCGCGCUCGAGAGUUCAUAUCGACAGCGCGGAUUGGCACCUCGAUGUCGGCUCGUCGUAUCCUGGGGCUGUACAAGGUCCCAAGGGUCCGGCUGUUCGCCGGUUAAAACGGCACGUGAGCUGGGUUUAGAACGUCGUGAGACAGUUCGGUCUCUAUCCAGUGUGGGCGCACGAUGAUUGAAGUGGAGAUCUCCUUAGUACGAGAGGACCGGGAGAUACGAACCUCUAGUGUUCCGGUUGUCCCGCCAGGGGCAAUGGCCGGGUAGCUAUGUUCGGAAGGGAUAAGUGCUGAAUGCAUAUAAGUACGAAGCCUCCCACAAGAUUAUUCAUCGAUUUCUGUCUUCGGACAGGAUAAAGACACCAUGUAGACUACGUGGUUGAUAGGCAGGGUGUGUAAGACCUGAAAGGGUUUCAGCUAACCUGUACUAAUUAGUCGAACACUUGACCUU
rnacentral:rRNA from 1 species